GACCGCGAAUUGAGGGUGGUAAGAAGCGCUGACAAUGCUACGAGAUUUGGAUGAAAUAGAGUCAGAUGGAGGGGAGGAACUUGAUGCUGAGAUCGACUAUGAUGAUGAAUGGGGGAAUUAUUCAAUAGAUUCCGAUGCUGGCUGCGAUUCUGAUUAACGAUGCCCAGCGUGCAGGUGUCAACAACUCAGAUGGAGGGAGAGGAGAAGGGGAAGGACGGCACGGUUUGGAUAAAACAGCCAGUGGACAACGCUGCAGAUCGGUUAUGAGCACAGAAUGGCACCCCAUUGGAAUCAGGCCCUACACCUUACGCCAAAGGCAGAAUCGACCGAGCAUUCGACAGCUCCCAUUGUUUAUGUAACAUGGAGAUGUUGCAGCACAUCAAGGACUGUACUGUAGCUGAGGCGCACAGAGCGAAAGGAGACAACACGUGGGACAUGUCUGUGGAUGAGCUGGAAGCGUUCAUUGCGCUCCUAUAUGUCCGAGGACAGUACGUAGGAAUGAACACGCCUUUGGAGAGCUUCUGGAACGAAAAAUAUGGGGCGAUUUUUUUUCCCCCGAGUCACUAUGCCCACGGAACCGCUUCAGAGAGAUCAUGCGAUACCUGUGUUUUGACGCAAGAGAGACCAGACGCAUGCGCCUGGAAACGGACGUUUGGGACGCGUUUGUACAGAACUGUGUUUCCUCUUACAAGCCAGGAGUGAACAUUUCCGUGGAGGAGCAAUGUUUCCCCGCAAAAGCUAAGUGCACCUUUACGCAGUACAUCCCCUACAAGCAAGACAAGUGGGGCAUGAAGUUUCGGUUGGCAGCUGACGUCGACAGCAAGUACGUGCUGAAUGUCUUUCCAUAUCUGGGGAAAGGUGAAUCUCAGCCUCCUGAAAUUGUGGUGAUGAGGCUUGUAGACUUACCUUGGCGAGGGUAGGAAUGUAAUCACAGACGAGAUCUUCACAUCACUGCCAUUGGCAAAUAAGUUGAUUGACAAGAACACAAGCUUAGUCGGGGUUAUGAAAGUGAGCCGGGGGCUGCUUCUCUCUGUGAGCAACCAGGCACAGGCAGAGCUGUUCUCCACAACGGCGUUGAAGCACGACAAAGCAACACGGUUUACAGAUGUAAGCCAAGAGAAAACGUUGGUGUGGAUAACAUGGCCAGACAGUUCACGGUGAAAGGGGGUACUUGCCGCUGGCCUAUUGCCGUAUUCUACAACCUGCUUGACCAGGCUGCUAUCAACGCGCACGUUUUGUUCACCCAGUGCACCGGUAAGACAACCCCGAGGAGAGAUUUCAUCAUGUAGUUGCCAUUGGAGCUUCGUGAGAAUCACACGAGCGCCAGGGGCAAGGCGGCAGCAGACGAUGUCCCAAAUGACGCACCACCGCUCUCCGAGAAAAAGAGACAGUGCCAGGUGCACGGAUGCAUGCGGAACAAAAACUGCGACUUCUACGGGACCUGUGCGCGAUUUGUCUGCGGAAAGUGCUCAUUCCGGAAUAAAGAUUUGUCGAAGAUUUGUGUUGACUGUCAUGCCAUGUUACUGUAAGAGCUUAAGGAAUAACUGCUGCUAUGCAUAAAGGCGUACAUGCCGAGAGAGGCCACAACGAGUUCAUUAAUGACUGACGCCAGUACAGGCUGUUUAUACGACUGACGCUUGUUAUAUUCUUGUUAUAUUAUUUUAUAAUACCGUUAUUGGUUUACAUUUGCUCGUUGUACACUUUUUUUGAGCUGACUCUAGUCCCAUUUAGCCCUAUUGAAAGUGCGUAUUUUGGAUACACCUAUAGCCUACUAGGUAGACUACUUAGACUAACAUGGUGGUAAAACAAGAAGAUGCUUCUGAAUUAAAUGACUGAAUGUGA